rnacentral:rRNA from 1 species
UACGUAGGGUCCGAGCGUUGUCCGGAAUUAUUGGGCGUAAAGGGCUCGUAGGCGGUUCGUCACGUCGGGAGUGAAAACUCGGGGCUUAACCCCGAGCCUGCUUCCGAUACGGGCAGACUAGAGGUAGGCAGGGGAGAGCGGAACUCCUGGUGUAGCGGUGGAAUGCGUAGAUAUCAAGUGGAACACCAGUGGCGAAGGCGAGUCUCUGGACAUUUCCUGACGCUGAGGCACGAAAGCCAGGGGAGCAAACGGG